UGUUCAUUUCUGUGUCGGGCACAGUGCUAAGUGCUGGGUGCUCACUGGUGAUGAGGCAGAUGAAGGUUACCAAACUUGUGGACAGGAGCCUCAUGUCAGAGACGUGGACCUCACUGUAGCCUGGUCAUGGCUUCCAGCUUUUCGAAUCUGAGGCUCCAAAGGAGGAAAUGACCAUUCAGGGAUCUUACUCCAGCUUGAUUACGGAAACUGAACCUUCAUAGGGUGCGCACUUACCAAGGACAGGAAGGUUUCUCUCUUUGAAGGGCUUUAAACUUAUAACAAAGAAAAUAAAAAUGACGACUUCGUCUAUCAGACGGCAGAUGAAAAACAUCGUGAACAAUUACUCAGAGGCAGAAAUCAAAGUCCGGGAAGCCACCUCUAAUGACCCAUGGGGCCCGUCCAGUUCUCUGAUGACCGAGAUUGCCGACCUGACCUACAACGUGGUGGCCUUCUCGGAGAUCAUGAGCAUGGUGUGGAAGCGGCUCAAUGACCAUGGCAAGAACUGGCGGCAUGUGUACAAGGCGCUGACCCUGCUGGACUACCUCAUCAAGACAGGCUCCGAACGUGUGGCCCAGCAGUGCCGGGAGAACAUCUUCGCCAUCCAGACCCUGAAGGACUUCCAGUACAUUGACCGAGAUGGCAAGGACCAGGGCAUCAAUGUGCGUGAGAAGUCAAAGCAACUGGUGGCCCUCCUCAAGGACGAGGAACGGCUGAAGGCUGAGAGGGCCCAGGCUCUCAAAACCAAAGAGCGCAUGGCCCAGGUUGCCACUGGCAUGGGCAGCAACCAGAUCACCUUUGGGCGAGGCUCCAGCCAGCCCAACCUCUCCACCAGCCACUCGGAGCAGGAGUAUGGCAAGGCUGGGGGCUCCCCGGCCUCCUACCAUGGCUCCACCUCCCCGCGAGUGUCCUCCGAGCUGGAGCAAGCCCGGCCCCAGACUAGUGGAGAAGAGGAGCUUCAGCUGCAGCUGGCACUUGCCAUGAGCAGAGAAGUGGCUGAGCAGGAAGAACGCCUCAGGCGGGGUGAUGACCUCAGAUUACAGAUGGCCCUGGAAGAAAGCCGAAGGGACACAGUUAAAAUUCCAAAAAAGAAAGAGCACGGCUCUCUCCCACAGCAGACUACGCUGUUGGAUUUAAUGGAUGCUCUUCCCAGCUCGGGCCCUGUGGCCCAGAAAGCGGAGCCCUGGGGCCCGUCAGCCUCCACUAACCAGACCAACCCCUGGGGCGGGCCAGCGGCUCCUGCGAGUACUUCAGACCCCUGGCCAUCAUUUGGUAAAGACCCCAUUACUGGUCUCCUGUGCUUGCCUGCUGGAUGGGUGAGGGGCAGGGCAGUGCUUCUUGCUGUCUCUCACCCACUUGGGUCUGGUCGAUUGUGGUGGGUGUCCAGGCUCCUCCACCCCUCAGCGGUGAUAUCCAACUGGCCCUUGCCCUCCUCCUUGAGGAUGGUGGCAUGGUGUUCCCUCUUUGUUUUGAGUGGUUUUCUGCUUUGGGAGAAGGAAAGUCGACUUCCCCUCAACCUCCCAUUUGCAUCAGAAAUGCCUUGUGCCUUCUCUGGGACAUGUUUCAACUCUCGCAGCCUCAGCAUUACACCCAGCGCCCCAGCUGAAGGAACCAAAAUACACAGCGUGGAACAUCCAAAUCAAGCUGCUGUAAUUAGCUGGAAAUUAUGAUGUGCUUACCAUCACGUCUGAUGAAAAGGGGAUACAUUUGCUAUAAUUCUGCUUGUU
rnacentral:sRNA from 1 species